UGAGCAAUUUGCCCUUCUCUUUGGAAUAAGCGUUGGAAACGACGUCUAAUGCCGAAUACGACCUCCUUUCGCAUGAUCGGAGGUGGAAAGCUCCGGCGGAGAAGGAUGAGCUCGCGGCCUAUCAGCUAGUUGGUGAGGUAACGGCUCACCAAGGCAACGACGGGUAGCUGGU
rnacentral:rRNA from 1 species